rnacentral:rRNA from 1 species
UACGGAGGGUGCUAGCGUUGUUCGGAAUUACUGGGCGUAAAGGGCGCGUAGGCGGCCUUCUAAGUCGAACGUGAAAUCCCCGGGCUCAACCCGGGAACUGCGUCCGAUACUGGGAGGCUUGAAUCCGGGAGAGGGAUGUGGAAUUCCAGGUGUAGCGGUGAAAUGCGUAGAUAUCUGGAGGAACACCGGUGGCGAAGGCGGCAUCCUGGACCGGUAUUGACGCUGAGGCGCGAAAGCCAGGGGAGCAAACGGG